UCUUUUUUCGCACAAGAUGGACAUGCCAAUCAGGAUAAUGAUCGCAAAGUAUGUAGAGGUUUUUCUUUAAAAUGUGUUUGACAGUUUAUUACAUGCUUGAGAAUUAUAUAUAUACAGGCUUAUAAAGACUGAAUUUUGAGAACAAUUGAAGAAACUUGAAAUCUUUUCUAUGACAAGUUUUUGGCUCUGUGGGAUGAACACAAGAAUGGACCUGGUGAGGCAUAUCUCCCAGAUGUUUAUGAUAAUCAGAAGCUUCACCAGCUUGCGAAACUGAUAUUUUUGACAGAUUUGUUUCAUGACACUCUUGGAUUUGGUGCUGCCAAAAUGAUAAGGAGAAUUCUUGGGGUGGCACAUGUUGAAGAUUUUGAAUCCAUCUCUGAUGUUCCUACAAGAGCCAAGUGUGAGCAAAAAGCUCUACAUUUUGCCAAGAUGCUCAUCAAGGAAAGGCGAAAAUUUAAAGGAAUUCACAAACUCAUUUCAUCCAUUCGAGAACUCAUGGACUAAGCUAACACUGGUAUUUACUCUAUUUCUCAUAAGAAUCUACAUAUCAAAUUACUGAUUACAUAUAGGCUCUUUGAUUAUAGGGUAUUUAAGAACAUUGAAGGAAUUAGGAAAUAACCAUUAUUAUUAACCAGGUUUUCAGAAGAGAAUCAUAAAAGUGAACUAACAUUUCCCUUCUUUAGUAGCAUUCGAUAACUUAGACGAACUAACACAUAAGCUUCUAAUUUCUUCUUAGAAUUGAGUUAGUGGUUGAAUAAUAGUUCGUCAUUAUUAUUGCUUCCCACCAUUGCUGAGGUCCAUAGAUCAGCACCAUUUUCGUUUGCCAAUGGUAGAGUGCAAUCAAUGGGUAUUAGACAUAACCCCUUGCUCCUUAAUCCCUUCCCCUGUUUCUCCUCCUCCUCCACCUCCUCUUCUCCUCUCCAAUUCUG